UGCGUAGGCGGCCCGUUAAGUCAGGGGUGAAAGGCUGUAGCUCAACCACAGAAUUGCCUUUGAUACUGACAGGCUUGAAAUAAAUUGAGGUUGGCGGAAUGUGACAUGUAGCGGUGAAAUGCAUAGAUAUGUCAUAGAACACCAAUUGCGAAGGCAGCUGACUAGAUUUUAUUUGACGCUGAGGCACGAAAGCGUGGGGAGCGAACAGGAUUAGAUACCCUGGUAGUCC
rnacentral:rRNA from 1 species